rnacentral:rRNA from 1 species
CGCGUAGGCGGCUCGGUAAGUUUGGAGUGAAAGUCCUGGCUUUAAGUUGGGAAUUGCUUUGAAAACUGUCGGGCUUGAGUGCAGGAGAGGUUAGUGGAAUUCCCAGUGUAGCGGUGAAAUGCGUAGAGAUUGGGAGGAACACCAGUGGCGAAGGCGACUAACUGGACUGUAACUGACGCUGAGGCGCGAAAGUGUGGGGAGCAAACAG